UACGUAGGGGGCAAGCGUUGUCCGGAAUCAUUGGGCGUAAAGCGCGUGUAGGCGGCUAGAUAAGUCUGCUCUGAAAGCCCGGGGCUCAACCCCGGGAGGCGGGUGGAUACUGUCUAGCUCGAGUCCGGAAGAGGAGUGUGGAAUUCCUGGUGUAGCGGUGAAAUGCGCAGAUAUCAGGAGGAACACCAAUGGCGAAGGCAGCUCGCUGGGACGGUAUUGACGCUGAGACGCGAAAGCGUGGGGAGCAAACAGG
rnacentral:rRNA from 1 species